CCUACGGGAGGCUGCAGUGGGGAAUAUUGCACAAUGGGGGGAACCCUGAUGCAGCGACGCCGCGUGAGUGAAGAAGUAUUUCGGUAUGUAAAGCUCUAUCAGCAGGGAAGAAAAUGACGGUACCUGACAAAGAAGCCCCGGCUAACUCCGUGCCAGCAGCCGCGGUCAUACGUAGGGGGCAAGCGUGAUCCGGAUUUACUGGGUGUAAAGGGAGCGUAGACGGCAGAGCAAGUCUGAAGUGAAAGCCCGCGGCCCAACAGGGGGACUGCUUUGGAAACUGGCCGGCGAGAGUGCUGGAGAGGGAAGGGGAAUUCCUGGUGUAGCGGUGAAAUGCGUAGAUAUUAGGAGGAACACCAGUGGCGAAGGCGGCUUACUGGACAGUAACUGACGUUGAGGCUCGAAAGCGUGGGGAGCAAACAGGAUUAGAUACCCGAGUAGUC
rnacentral:rRNA from 1 species